UGGCCACCACGGUGCGCGUGGGGCACGCGGUCGGUGCCGGCGACCUGCCGGGCGUGCGCUGGUCGGCGGCCGCCGGUUUCAGCCUGGCGAUGAUCGCCCA
rnacentral:tRNA from 1 species